rnacentral:rRNA from 1 species
AUUGAACGCUGGCGGCAUGCCUUACACAUGCAAGUCGAACGGUAACAGGUUAAGCUGACGAGUGGCGAACGGGUGAGUAAUGUAUCGGAACGUGCCCAGUCGUGGGGGAUAACUGCUCGAAAGAGCAGCUAAUACCGCAUACGACCUGAGGGUGAAAGCGGGGGAUCGCAAGACCUCGCGCGAUUGGAGCGGCCGAUAUCAGAUUAGGUAGUUGGUGAGGUAAAGGCUCACCAAGCCGACGAUCUGUAGCUGGUCUGAGAGGACGACCAGCCACACUGGGACUGAGACACGGCCCAGACUCCUACGGGAGGCAGCAGUGGGGAAUUUUGGACAAUGGGCGCAAGCCUGAUCCAGCCAUGCCGCGUGCGGGAAGAAGGCCUUCGGGUUGUAAUCCGCUUUUGUCAGGGAAGAAAAGGUUCUGGCUAAUACCUGGGACUCAUGACGGUACCUGAAGAAUAAGCACCGGCUAACUACGUG